rnacentral:misc_RNA from 1 species
GAUGAAGAACGUAGCGAAAUGCGAUAAGUAAUGUGAAUUGCAGAAUUGCAGAAUUCAGUGAAUCAUCGAAUCUUUGAACGCACCUUGCGCUCCUUGGUAUUCCGAGGAGCAUGCCUGUUUGAGUGUCAUUAAAUUCUCAACCUCACCAGUUUUCUGAACUGUUCUUCGAGGCUUGGAUGUGGGGGUUUGUGCAGGCUGCCUCAGCGCGGUCUGCUCCCCUGAAAUACAUUAGCGAGUUCACUGGGCUCCGUCUAUUGGUGUGAUAAUUAUCUACGCCGUGGAUUGGACUUAGACUUGCUUCUAACUGUCCGCAAGGACAAUUUUAUGACAAUUUGACCUCAAAUCAGGUAGGACUACCCGCUGAACUUAAGCAUAUCAAUAAGCGGAGGA